CCCCUCGAUAAAGGAGAACUUGUCGAGCACAUCCUCACCGGCUUGAAUGGAGAAUUUGAGUCACUGGUGUCGGCUCUGGUGGCAAGAGUCAAGCCAAUUGGCAUGGAGGAGUUGUACUCCCAAAUGCUAAGCUUUGAGA
rnacentral:snoRNA from 1 species